GACGAACGCUGGCGGCGUGCUUAACACAUGCAAGUCGAACGGACAGGCCCUGCUUUUGUGGGGUGCUCGAGUGGCGAACGGGUGAGUAACACGUGAGUAACCUGCCCUUGACUUUGGGAUAACUUCAGGAAACUGGGGCUAAUACCGGAUAGGAGCUCCUGCUGCAUGGUGGGGGUUGGAAAGUUUCGGCGGUUGGGGAUGGACUCGCGGCUUAUCAGCUGGUUUGUGAGGUAGUGGCUGACCAAGGCUUUGACGGAUAGCCGGCCUGAGAGGGUGACCGGCGACAUGGGGCCUGCGGUACGGCGCAGACUCCUACGGGAGGCAGCGGUGGGGAAUAUUGCAGAAUGGGGGGAAGCCUGAGGCAGCAACGCCGCGUGCGGGAUGACGGCCUUCGGGUGGUAAACCAAUUUCGCAUGUGACGAAGCGGGAGUGACGGUAAUGGGUAAAGAAGCACCGGCUAACUACGUG
rnacentral:rRNA from 1 species